rnacentral:tRNA from 1 species
GCGGAUGGAGCUCGGCUUGGUAGAGCGUCGCAUUGCCUAUGCGAAGGCCGCGGGUUCGAAUCCCGUCAUCCGCU